GAUGAACGCUGGCGGCGUGCCUAAUACAUGCAAGUCGAGCGAACAGACGAGGAGCUUGCUCCUCUGACGUUAGCGGCGGACGGGUGAGUAACACGUGGAUAACCUACCUAUAAGACUGGGAUAACUUCGGGAAGCCGGAGCUAAUACCGGAUAAUAUAUUGAACCGCAUGGUUCAAUAGUGAAAGACGGUUUUGCUGUCACUUAUAGAUGGAUCCGCGCCGCAUUAGCUAGUUGGUAAGGUAACGGCUUACCAAGGCGACGAUGCGUAGCCGACCUGAGAGGGUGAUCGGCCACACUGGAACUGAGACACGGUCCAGACUCCUACGGGAGGCAGCAGUAGGGAAUCUUCCGCAAAGGGCGAAAGCCUGACGGAGCAACGCCGCGUGAGUGAUGAAGGUCUUCGGAUCGUAAAACUCUGUUAUUAGGGAAGAACAAAUGUGUAAGUAACUAUGCACGUCUUGACGGUACCUAAUCAGAAAGCCACGGCUAACUACGCG
rnacentral:rRNA from 1 species